rnacentral:rRNA from 1 species
GCUGUGAGGCGUUGAGCUAACCAAUACUAAUUGCCCGUGAGGCUUGACCAUA